rnacentral:rRNA from 1 species
AGAGUUUGAUCCUGGCUCAGGAUGAACGCUGGCGGCGUGCUUAACACAUGCAAGUCGAACGGGAAAUAUUUCAUUGAGACUUCGGUGGAUUUGAUCUAUUUCUAGUGGCGGACGGGUGAGUAACGCGUGGGUAACCUGCCUUAUACAGGGGGAUAAUCAUUGGAAACGAUGACUAAUACCGCAUGUGGUCCUCGGGAGGCAUCUUCUGAGGAAGAAAGGAUCUAUUCGGUACAGGAUGGGCCCGCAUCUGAUUAGCUAGUUGGUGAGAUAACAGCCCACCAAGGCGACGAUCAGUAGCCGACCUGAGAGGGUGAUCGGCCACAUUGGGACUGAGACACGGCCCAAACUCCUACGGGAGGCAGCAGUGGGGAAUAUUGCACAAUGGGCGAAAGCCUGAUGCAGCAACGCCGCGUGAAGGAUGAAGGGUUUCGGCUCGUAAACUUCUAUCAAUAGGGAAGAAAGAAAUGACGGUACCUAAAUAAGAAGCCCCGGCUAACUACGUGCCAACAGCCGCGGUAAUACGUAGGGGGCGAGCGUUAUCCGGAUUCAUUGGGCGUAAAGCGCGCGUAGGCGGCCGCCUAAGCGGAACCUCUAAUCCCGGGGCUCAACCUCGGGCCGGGUUCCGGACUGGGCGGCUCGAGUGCGGUAGAGGCAGGCGGAAUUCCCGGUGUAGCGGUGGAAUGCGCAGAUAUCGGGAAGAACACCGAUGGCGAAGGCAGCCUGCUGGGCCGCCAUUGACGCUGAGGCGCGAAAGCUGGGGGAGCGAACAGGAUUAGAUACCCUGGUAGUCCCAGCCGUAAACGAUGGACGCUAGGUGUGGGGGGACCAUCCCCCCGUGCCGCAGCCAACGCAUUAAGCGUCCCGCCUGGGGAGUACGGCCGCAAGGCUAAAACUCAAAGGAAUUGACGGGGGCCCGCACAAGCGGUGGAGUAUGUGGUUUAAUUCGAAGCAACGCGAAGAACCUUACCAGGCCUUGACAUCCCUUGCAGAGGUAUAGAGAUAUAUCCGAGGUUAUCAAGGAGACAGGUGGUGCAUGGUUGUCGUCAGCUCGUGUCGUGAGAUGUUGGGUUAAGUCCCGCAACGAGCGCAACCCUUGUGAUAUGUUACUAACAUUGAGUUGAGGACUCAUAUCAGACUGCCGGUGAUAAACCGGAGGAAGGUGGGGAUGACGUCAAAUCAUCAUGCCCCUUAUGGCCUGGGCUACACACGUACUACAAUGGCGUCUACAAAGAGCGGCAAGCCUGUGAAGGCAAGCGAAUCUCAUAAAGGACGUCUCAGUUCGGAUUGAAGUCUGCAACCCGACUUCAUGAAGCUGGAAUCGCUAGUAAUCGCGAAUCAGCAUGUCGCGGUGAAUACGUUCUCGGGCCUUGUACACACCGCCCGUCA